rnacentral:rRNA from 1 species
UAAGCGGAGGAAAAGAAACUAACAAGGAUUCCCCUAGUAGCGGCGAGCGAAGCGGGAAGAGCUCAAAUUUAUAAUCUGGCACCUUCGGUGUCCGAGUUGUAAUCUCUAGAAAUGUUUUCCGCGUUGGACCGCACACAAGUCUGUUGGAAUACAGCGGCAUAGUGGUGAGACCCCCGUAUAUGGUGCGGACGCCCAGCGCUUUGUGAUACAUUUUCGAAGAGUCGAGUUGUUUGGGAAUGCAGCUCAAAUUGGGUGGUAAAUUCCAUCUAAAGCUAAAUAUUGGCGAGAGACCGAUAGCGAACAAGUACCGUGAGGGAAAGAUGAAAAGCACUUUGGAAAGAGAGUUAACAGUACGUGAAAUUGUUGGAAGGGAAACGCUUGAAGUCAGACUUGCUUGCCGAGCAAUCGGUUUGCAGGCCAGCAUCAGUUUUCCGGGAUGGAUAAUGGUAGAGAGAAGGUAGCAGUUUCGGCUGUGUUAUAGCUCUCUGCUGGAUACAUCUUGGGGGACUGAGGAACGCAGUGUGCCUUUGGCGGGGGUUUCGACCUCUUCACACUUAGGAUGCUGGUGGAAUGGCUUUAAACGACCCGUCUUGAAACAC